GUUGUUGUUGUUGUAGCGGAAAAAUUCUGUAGAAUUCAGAUAACUUAGCUGUAAUUAUCAGUUUAGCGUGUUAAACAUUUUCUUAUGAAAAAAAUAUACUGAAGAAAUGUAAGUCACAAUUUCUUUUGCGCCGCGAUCUGAUGGUAUGGACGACUAUCGGAGAUCGUCGAACUCCUUUCCACACUGGCGUCCUUCGGCCGCGCUUCAAAAAAAUAACCCUGAUCGGUCCAAAACCGCGGUGUUCAUAAUUCAACCGCGUCAAACUCCUUGCUCGCUGCUCUCAACCUCGAUGAUAAUUUUCAUCACGAUGCAGAAAACGUUUAUGAAGAAGAGAAGUAAAUACACCAAAAAACUUGAACAAUAUGUGAUUUUUACAAAGAAAAAAAUAAACCUAUUAAUUUAAAUGUA